rnacentral:rRNA from 1 species
CAGCAGCCGCGGGAAUACGUAGGGUGCAAGCGUUAAUCGGAAUUACUGGGCGUAAAGCGCACGCAGGCGGUCUGUCAAGUCAGAUGUGAAAUCCCCGGGCUUAACCUGGGAACUGCAUUUGAAGCUGGCAGGCUAGAGUCUUGUAGAGGGGGGUAGAAUUCCAGGUGUAGCGGUGAAAUGCGUAGAGAUCUGGAGGAAUACCGGUGGCGAAGGCGGCCCCCUGGACAAAGACUGACGCUCAGGUGCGAAAGCGUGGGGAGCAAACAGGAUUAGAUACCCCAGUAGUCCCUGUCUCUUAUAC